CUGAAACAAGCCGAGUCAUGCGGGGGAAAGAACAGGAGGAGAGGAACGAAGAACAAGAAGGAAUCGCAACAGAUCGGGAAGAAAAAGGUGGGAGCUUUCUUACUUUGAGGGGAAUGUUGUCUGGCUCGAGGUGCGCAGAAACCUGGUGGAGAUCUCAUCUCGAUCUAGGUUGAUCUCGGACCAGGCUUCAUUCCCCUCAAGUAGAGCUCCCCGUUCCGCGUCGAUCCCUCUUGUUCUUGCCUCCUAUGCUGUGCUUACACAUGUGGGUACAUAUGCACAUGACUGGUAUGUUAAUUCACAAAGGAGGCAGUAUAUAUACUUUUUUUAAUAUAUGCAGCUGGCUGAUGCAGGUUAAUGCACAAAGGAGGCGGAUUUUAAUAUAUGCAGGUAACUUCUUGUAACUUGCAAGGCACAACCAGCUGGUUAACUUAUUUUUUACAGGUCAGGACUGAGUACGUUUGAGGUUUGAGUUGAACAAAUUCACGUGCACUGUUGACUAGCAGUGGUGUCCUUUUUGAAGAAGGGACAGGUAAUGCUGCAGUCUUAUGUAGAUCCCUAAUGUCACAAGUUUACUGUUGGAGAUUAUGUCUGUGCAUGCAAAAGAAGUAAAGCAAGAUCAGUCCAUACAGGAUUUGUAUUCUCAUGACUGUUUUAGCUGGCGUCAACUUCACAAGUUGUAAAACGCAUGUGAUGCAUGUCCACAUGUACACGGUACUGCAAACUAUAUAUAGUACUGAUCAUGCAGCCAAAUUACAAAAACUGAAGACGGAAAUGGUCACAGCAUUAGGCAAAAAGAAAACAUGAAAUCAAAUAGCUAGCGGAUGAGAUGGUUCUUGUUUAUUUGUCUGGAUACGCGAGUCUAACUUUCUUUUGAGAUGACACUGCAACUUUAGAGGCGGGUUUUGGAAAGUUGAAAGUUCCUUGUAGAGGCUACGAACCAAAAGGCGGCAACAACAAUUGGAUCGGAGAAGCAGUUGAGCAAGACAGCCACGUGCAUGCGAUGGAAUUAUCCCUUUUAAGUGUGUGCAUCGAGUACAUUAUCUUGUGGGAGGAUGUGACUUGGGGGCAAGAGAUAAUUAGGUCGGUGUACCAAAACCCUAAAGUGAGCUAGGCACAGCAAUGGUCUAGGAGUCCUUGCUGUGUACUAAAAUAGCAAAAUAUACUCCGCUCCUCAGUGGAAUGGGAGCUUCAGGCCU